AUGAACGCUAGCUACAGGCUUAACACAUGCAAGUCGAGGGGCAGCAUGGUCUUAGCUUGCUAAGGCCGAUGGCGACCGGCGCACGGGUGAGUAACACGUAUCCAACCUGCCGUCUACUCUUGGACAGCCUUCUGAAAGGAAGAUUAAUACAAGAUGGCAUCAUGAGUCCGCAUGUUCACAUGAUUAAAGGUAUUCCGGUAGACGAUGGGGAUGCGUUCCAUUAGAUAGUAGGCGGGGUAACGGCCCACCUAGUCUUCGAUGGAUAGGGGUUCUGAGAGGAAGGUCCCCCACAUUGGAACUGAGACACGGUCCAAACUCCUACGGGAGGCAGCAGUGAGGAAUAUUGGUCAAUGGGCGAGAGCCUGAACCAGCCAAGUAGCGUGAAGGAUGACUGCCCUAUGGGUUGUAAACUUCUUUUAUAAAGGAAUAAAGUCGGGUAUGGAUACCCGUUUGCAUGUACUUUAUGAAUAAGGAUCGGCUAACUCCGUGCCAGCAGCCGCGGUAAUACGGAGGAUCCGAGCGUUAUCCGGAUUUAUUGGGUUUAAAGGGAGCGUAGAUGGAUGUUUAAGUCAGUUGUGAAAGUUUGCGGCUCAACCGUAAAAUUGCAGUUGAUACUGGAUGUCUUGAGUGCAGUUGAGGCAGGCGGAAUUCGUGGUGUAGCGGUGAAAUGCUUAGAUAUCACGAAGAACUCCGAUUGCGAAGGCAGCCUGCUAAGCUGCAACUGACAUUGAGGCUCGAAAGUGUGGGUAUCAAACAGGAUUAGAUACCCUGGUAGUCCACACGGUAAACGAUGAAUACUCGCUGUUUGCGAUAUACAGCAAGCGGCCAAGCGAAAGCGUUAAGUAUUCCACCUGGGGAGUACGCCGGCAACGGUGAAACUCAAAGGAAUUGACGGGGGCCCGCACAAGCGGAGGAACAUGUGGUUUAAUUCGAUGAUACGCGAGGAACCUUACCCGGGCUUAAAUUGCAGAUGAAUUACGGUGAAAGCCGUAAGCCGCAAGGCAUCUGUGAAGGUGCUGCAUGGUUGUCGUCAGCUCGUGCCGUGAGGUGUCGGCUUAAGUGCCAUAACGAGCGCAACCCUUGUUGUCAGUUACUAACAGGUUCCGCUGAGGACUCUGACAAGACUGCCAUCGUAAGAUGUGAGGAAGGUGGGGAUGACGUCAAAUCAGCACGGCCCUUACGUCCGGGGCUACACACGUGUUACAAUGGGGGGUACAGAGGGCCGCUACCACGCGAGUGGAUGCCAAUCCCCAAAACCUCUCUCAGUUCGGACUGGAGUCUGCAACCCGACUCCACGAAGCUGGAUUCGCUAGUAAUCGCGCAUCAGCCACGGCGCGGUGAAUACGUUCCCGGGCCUUGUACACACCGCCCGUCAAGCCAUGGGAGCCGGGGGUACCUGAAGUGCGUAACCGCGAGGAGCGCCCUAGGGUAAAACUGGUGACUGGGGCU
rnacentral:rRNA from 1 species